rnacentral:lncRNA from 1 species
GGAGACAUCAAUGACCCAUCAGCCCAGCCCUGAGGAAAGGGAAGGCUCUGGUUCUUUGCAGUUGCCACACCUAGUGCUGGGCACGGACCAGGUGGGCUUUGGGACACCCUGUGCCUUCUUCCCUUCAGCCCGGCAGGAACAUUUAGGCCAUCCCUGCCAGGGAUCUGUUGGAGGCCUGCUUCAUGCAACAUACUUCACUGGGUACUGUCAGGAGGGUGAGGAAGCACAAGAUUUGAGCUUGAAAGCUGCUUGGAGAGUGAAUACAUGUAUAUUUGAAAACAACAACAACAACAACAAAACCCGACAGUCCCACCUCAAAGCAACGCCCAGUGCAGAGAGGAUGAAUCAUACGGACGAGAUGCUGCAGAUGUCUGCAGGAUGGGGAGCAAUUAUACAAGGCACCUGGCGGGGGCUCAGAGGAAGUGGGGACGGAGGCUCCGGAGGCAAAGCCAGCCCUGACGGACGGCGGCGAUGGGUCGUAGCGCAUUGAGCAAGGCGUCCACAGCCACUGCCGGUACACGUGCAAAACUACACGUUGGGGAGGGAGGGCCGUGCAGAAAGACAACACAUGUAGAAAGAUUAGUGGAAUUCGAGAAUUCACCUUUGGCCGCCCCGUAGAAAUAAUUGACUGGAGCGGGAACCACGGAUAAACACAGGGUAUGAGGGGGAAGCAAGUUCUCCAUUGCCUGGUGGUGUCUGCGCACAGUGACUCAGGCACCUCUCCUGGCAUCACAGACGUCCCCACGACACCUGGCCCACAUCAGGAGGAAAUGUUACCCAGACCCAAGCAGAAGGAGGGGCGUUCCACCAGGAGUUCGCCUUGACUGUUUGAAAGAUCGACUUCAUGAGGUUCCCGGCCAAGGGAGGCUGAGGGGUGUAUCCGGAGAUCCUAGAGUGUGGACUGGAUACAGGAUGGGUCCGUGUGCCACCAAGGACAUGGGAAUGCAUGGAUCUCGGAUGGGGACAGUGGGUGAGACGCUUGCCUUGCAGGCUGGUCCUGGGAGCUGGCUAGAAAUGCAGUCUCAGGCCUCCCUACUCCCACUGAACCCAAACAUGCAUAUUUGCUUAUUUUUAAGAUUUAAUUUUUUUAUGAGAGAAAGCAGGGGGAG